rnacentral:tRNA from 1 species
AGGGAGACAACACAAUGAUUUUGAUGCCUGAGUGCUUUUAUUCUUAGGCCGAAAUCCUGUCACCUUAGGUCGAUCGGUACCUCAGCUUUGAAGUCAAGGAUCAGCAGCAAUGUUGAUUGCUUGAUGGAGAUUUUCAGUUCCUAAACUUUGUCUAGGUCACACCCCAAAAGGGAUGAGACUCCUGGGCCAUUAGCUCAGGUGGUUAGAGCGCACCCCUGAUAAGGGUGAGGUCCCUGGUUCAAGUCCAGGAUGGCCCAUUCGGUGUUGGGGGUUUAGCUCAGUUGGUAGAGCGCCUGCUUUGCAAGCAGGAUGUCAGGAGUUCGAGUCUCCUAACCUCCACUGACCGAACUUGAUUCCCAUCUCCAAUUUUUUGGAGUUGAGCUCGAUUGGAGUGUGAUUUAGAUGUGUCCGCUGGAUGACCCCAGCUUCCUGUCAUUCCAAGUUUUAGGUUGAUGCCUUGAAUUUGGUUGAUAAGAUGCUGGGCUCGGAUCAAAUGAUCAAGCAAUUGAUGAUUUGAUUUGAAGUUCUAGCAGAACCUUGACAACUGCAUAGGUGAGUCUGGAAAAAACAAAGCAUCUUACAGAUGCAUUGUUUUGAAUCUGAUCUUCUGAAACGGAGAUUGGAUCUAGAACAAUGAAAAUUCUUUUGAGCAAGAGCCGAGACUCUUGAGCGUUCUUUGAUUGGUGUCGAGCCAAUCAGAGUUUGAUCUUGUUUUUAGCAAUAAAAACUUGAGAAUCUGCUUUCAACGGCGGUAAGCGUUCAGGAGGUUAAUU